GGUCCAGAAGGAGCAGGAGGAGAUGAUGGGUGCCAAGAUGGGGCCAGGAGGAGAUGAUGGGCACCAAGAUGGAAGCAGGGUGAGAUGAUGGGGGUCAGGAUGGGUCUUUCAAGGCCAGGAGCAGAUGAUGGGUCCUGGGAUGGGUCCAGCAGACACAG